AAAAGAACCCAACAGGGAUUGCCUUUAGUAGCGGCGAGUGAAGCGGCAAAAGCUCAAAUUUGAAAUCUGGCGCCUUCGGUGUCCGAGUUGUAAUUUGAAGAUUGUAACCUUGGGGUUGGCUCUCGUCUAUGUUUCUUGGAACAGGACGUCACAGAGGGUGAGAAUCCCGUGCGAUGAGAUGCCCAAUUCUAUGUAAGGUGCUUUCGAAGAGUCGAGUUGUUUGGGAAUGCAGCUCUAAGUGGGUGGUAAAUUCCAUCUAAAGCUAAAUAUUGGCGAGAGACCGAUAGCGAACAAGUACAGUGAUGGAAAGAUGAAAAGAACUUUGAAAAGAGAGUGAAAAAGUACGUGAAAUUGUUGAAAGGGAAGGGUUUGAGAUCAGACUCGAUAUUUUGUGAGCCUUGCCUUCGUGGCGGGGUGACCCGCAGCUUAUCGGGCCAGCAUCGGUUUGGGCGGUAGGAUAAUGGCGUAGGAAUGUGACUUUACUUCGGUGAAGUGUUAUAGCCUGCGUUGAUGCUGCCUGCCUAGACCGAGGACUGCGAUUUUAUCAAGGAUGCUGGCAUAAUGAUCCCAAACCGCCCGUCUUGAAACACGGACCAAGGAGUCUAACGUCUAUGCGAGUGUUUGGGUGUUAAACCCGUACGCGUAAUGAAAGUGAACGUAGGUGAGGGCUCUUUUGAGUGCAUCAUCGACCGAUCCUGAUGUCUUCGGAUGGAUUUGAGUAAGAGCAUAGCUGUUGGGACCCGAAAGAUGGUGAACUAUACCUGAAUAGGGUGAAGCCAGAGGAAACUCUGGUGGAGGCUCGUAGCGGUUCUGACGUGCAAAUCGAUCGUCGAAUUUGGGUAUA
rnacentral:rRNA from 1 species